GCCCAGGCCGAGCGAGGCGUUCCCGGAGGUGUCCAGCAGAGGACGCUGCCGGCGGAGACGGGACCGGAAGCCGGGCCGGAGGCGGCCGGGCGUAUUCGCCGACUCCUCCCGCUUCCGCUGCCGCAGCCGGUCGGAACCAAGUUGUCUCCUUUCAGGCGCUGUCCCCAUCGCCGCGAUGCCGCUGGAGAACCUGGAGGAGGAGGGUCUGCCCAAGAACCCCGACUUGCGCAUCGCGCAGCUGCGCUUCCUGCUCAGCCUGCCCGAGCACCGGGGAGACGCUGCCGUGCGCGACGAGCUGAUGGCGGCCGUCCGCGAUAACAACAUGGCUCCUUACUAUGAAGCCUUGUGCAAAUCCCUCGACUGGCAGAUAGACGUGGACCUACUCAAUAAAAUGAGGAAGGCAAAUGAAGACGAGUUGAAGCGUUUGGAUGAGGAGCUGGAAGAUGCAGAGAAGAAUCUAGGAGAGAGCGAAAUUCGCGAUGCAAUGAUGGCAAAGGCCGAGUACCUCUGCCGGAUAGGUGACAAAGAGGGAGCUCUGACAGCUUUUCGCAAGACAUAUGACAAAACUGUGGCCCUGGGUCACCGAUUGGAUAUUGUAUUCUAUCUGCUUAGGAUUGGCUUGUUUUACAUGGAUAAUGAUCUCAUCACACGAAACACAGAAAAGGCCAAAAGCUUAAUAGAAGAAGGAGGAGACUGGGACAGGAGAAACCGCCUAAAAGUGUAUCAGGGUCUUUAUUGUGUGGCUAUUCGUGAUUUCAAACAGGCAGCCGAACUCUUCCUUGACACUGUUUCAACAUUUACAUCCUAUGAACUCAUGGAUUAUAAAACAUUUGUGACUUAUACUGUCUAUGUCAGUAUGAUUGCCUUAGAAAGACCAGAUCUCAGGGAGAAGGUCAUUAAAGGAGCAGAGAUUCUUGAAGUGUUGCACAGUCUUCCAGCAGUUCGGCAGUAUCUGUUUUCACUCUAUGAAUGCCGUUACUCUGUUUUCUUCCAAUCAUUAGCGGUUGUGGAACAGGAAAUGAAAAAGGACUGGCUUUUUGCCCCUCAUUAUCGAUACUAUGUAAGAGAAAUGAGAAUUCAUGCAUACAGUCAGCUGCUGGAAUCAUAUAGGUCAUUAACCCUUGGCUAUAUGGCAGAAGCGUUUGGUGUUGGUGUGGAAUUCAUUGAUCAGAUCAUGCUUAUUCUAGUAGAUGAUGACUUAAAGCCUGCAAUACACCAGGGACUACCUCAACUACUGUAUAUUGCAAUAACAAGCUUGAAGGAAGCUAAAUGUUACAAAUUUAAGACUAUUUUAAUGCAGUUUGCAUUUUUCUAAGAAUUUUCUAUAAAGCUAAUUCUGUUAUUUUUUUUUUUUUCUCUAAAUUAGGGAACUGUCCAGGUUUAUUGCUGCUGGGAGACUACACUGCAAAAUAGAUAAAGUGAAUGAAAUAGUAGAAACCAACAGACCUGAUAGCAAGAACUGGCAGUACCAAGAAACUAUCAAGAAAGGAGAUCUGCUACUAAACAGAGUUCAAAAACUUUCCAGAGUAAUUAAUAUGUAAAGCCAUGUAACAAAAAAGAUUUGCUUUAGAGAUAAUUAUUUGGAAUUUUUAUAGCUUACUUCACAAUGUGCCCAGGUCAACUGUAUAAAAUAAAUACUGCAUUGUUGUUUCUUUCCAUUUAUUUUUUCUUAAACACAUAGGCCUUCUAGAAUGGGGUCCACUUACAUUAAAAUAAUGUCACUUGAAUUAUUCAUUAAUGAAAAUCUGGUUUAUAGCAUAACGUUGCAGCCGGGUUCAGCUAGGUUCAGAUCCUGACUGCCUCAUCAGUAAAAUAUGGAUGGUGACACAGCCCAUUAUCGCUUACCUUUAAAUCUCUUACCUUUAAGCUUCCCGAUUUUAGGAAUAAGAGUACAUACAUACUAUAUAGUGGCCUACAAUUAAACAGUGUCUCCCACUUACUUAGUAUACAAAAGAUAGAAGAUGAUAAAUAAAAUAAGCUUUCCGGCAGGAAGUUACCCUUUUUUAGGAAGCUGACAUAACCUGGAUUACAGAAUCUACCAAGGCUUAUCUUAGUUUUCUAAAACCUUAUACGUAAGUAUUGGCAAACUGAAUCUUUUUUCCAAAAGUAGGACCAUAGUAAUAAUAGCAGUGAGGAAGACAAAAGUUAGUUGUUCCCCUGUUUGUUUGAAACAGUUUAUAACUAUAUUAGUUUUAUUCAGUGUGUCAGGAAUAAGUGCUAUAAGAAGUAUAAAACCAGAUAGAUAGAUAGAGAUACAGGGUAUAGGCUCUCUUCUGGGGUGCUGUGGAAGGCUUCUAUGGUAAGGUGACAUUUAAGUGAAAAAGAGGGAGAGCCCGUGAACAUAUGGAGGGAAGAAAGACAGACAGGGAAAGUCACUGGCAAUUUUAAGUGCGGAUUUGGCUUACCUUUUAAGUCUCACUUAUGGCAUUUGGUGGCAUGGAUUAUACAGGCAGCUGGAUUUGCUAAAAGAUUUAGAAUGGGGUGAGGAGGAUGAGGGGGAGAAAAUUUGUCAGAGGAGAACCUAGGCUUUUUGGCUUAAGUAAAAGACAGACAGCUAGUGACCUUAAUGAGCAGUUUUGGUAGAGGUGAGUUCAGAAGAGAAUGGGAAAUGGCAUUUUACUGUAAAAGGCAGGGGAAGGAAAGAAGAGUUUUGAAUUUUUUCGUUUUAAAGAACAUUUACUGAUGGGAAUGAUCCCUGUUAACAUAUUAGUAGAAAAAAACACAUGAUCUCAUUUGAUUGAAAAUAAUUUGAUACAAUUCAACAUUUCUUCAUGAUAAAAACUCUUCAGUAGACUAUGAAAAUAAUAGGUUGGGAAAUCAAAGCCCUAUCACAAGGUAAUUAAUGGCAAAAUAUUAGAAGGUAAUUAAUGGCAAAAUAUAGAGACAGCAGCUCUCAUCGCUGGAAGAAGAGCCAUUGGUUAUAUGCCAAGGAAAGCAAUGUGGCCAGAGCUCUGUUUUGAAAGGAGUUUCCUGUAGGCACUAUAUGGUGGAGGGGAGGCUUUUAAAAUGCGGAAUAUGCCUAAAGUAUUUAAGAAUAUCCACCUAUGAAUUUCUAAAAAUGCUUAUCUAGAAAACAUAUUUCUUGAAGGAAAAAACCUCAGCUUUUUGGUUUUCUACAGAAAACCAAAGCUAGUCAGGAAUGCAAAGGUGGCUUCUGAAUGCUACAAAGUUGCAGUUGGUCACCCACAGGCUGCAACUGACACACCCUAAAUACUUUUCCAAGAAAAAAAUUUAUAGUUACCACAUAAAAGUUGACAGUUUAAAAACCACAUAUCUAGCUUCUCUGGAAAAAGGAUAGAUGAGGCUAACUCUGGACUCAGGCUCCAAUAAGCUGAGCGACAAGCAUAGCGUGUUUUCCAGUGUGCCCCAGUCCACCCAGUGUGUUCAUAUAUACUGCCUGUCUGCCUGGCCCCUGCUGGCAUUUGAGUUUGUUAUCCCUGUAUUACCCCCAAUAUUGUACAUAUGAGGUUGAUGAUUAACAGCCUCCUGUGUUAAUCAACUAAGACAGGGGUGUCCAAUCUUUGGGUUUCCUUGGGCCACACUGGAAGAAUUGUCUUGGGUGACACAAAAUACACUAAGGAUAGUUGAUGAGCUCAAAACAAAACACCACA